UACGGGGGGAGCAAGCGUUGUUCGGAUUUACUGGGCGUAAAGGGCGCGUAGGCGGUCAGCACAAGUCAGUUGUGAAAUCUCCGAGCUUAACUCGGAACGGUCAACUGAUACUGUGCGACUAGAGUGCGGAAGGGGCAACUGGAAUUCUCGGUGUAGCGGUGAAAUGCGUAGAGAUCGGAAAGAACACCAACGGCGAAAGCACUCUGCUGGGCCGACACUGACACUGAGAGACGAAAGCUAGGGGAGCGAAUGGG
rnacentral:rRNA from 1 species